CUCCCUCUAGUGAUGAUAAGUUUUUUCUCGAUUUUCAAACUGGCUAAAGCCUAAAAAGGUUACGCUUCAUCUCACUCUCCUCUCCAUCCAAGACUUGCUCCCAUCUCUUUCAAGGUAAUAUGCGAGUUUUUUUUGGGUAUUUCUUUGUACUAUUUUUGGAGCAGACCUUGAGACAAACGUUAUUAUAUCCUGAGAAUUUUGGCAAUACUUGCUAUUGCAAUUCUGUUUUUCAGGUAUCUCUUCGUUUUUUUUUGUUACUUUCAUUUUCUGAUUUAUUUGAGUGGAAUUGUGAAAAGGUGUUUGACUUUAAUCUUGUUUGUUUGUGGGUAUUUGUUUGUUUGUUUGAUACUUGUGUUUUAUUUGGUUUUUGGUGUUUUUGGCGAUUUUUCGUGUUACAAAUGAGACGCUUCGUUGUUCGCUUCGCAUACGACGAGACAACUCGACCGAUAGCAUAGCGGUGGUGGUCGAUGGUGGCGGUGGUUUCGGGACGUGAUCCGGUUUCAGGAAGGAAACCGCUAAUUGUGCCUUAAUUGAGGGCGUAAAUUGUGCCUCUUAAUUGAGGGCGUAAACUGUGCCUUUUGGGCGUAAAUUGUGCUCUUUAUUGAGGGCGUUAAUUGUGCCUUAUUUGAGGGACUUAAUUGUGUCUUAAUUAAGGACAUUAAUAUUUUAUUAUUAUGCCUUAAUUAAGAGCUUAAUUGUUUCAAUCAUGAGUUAUCAUGAUUGUGGGAAUAUUUUGAUAUAACCUGUUAAAUAUAUCUGACUUAUAUUUUUCUUGUUUCUUGUUUUAUUUUCAGGAUUCCUGGAAGAAGACCCGUUUUCUUUUCGGACAUUAAAGUUUUAUUGUCUAAAUUUCCCCGGUCAUCUUGCAUGUCCGACGGUUAGAUAAUAAGCUUUCUUGAAUGAAAGAAUUAUCACGG
rnacentral:lncRNA from 1 species